rnacentral:rRNA from 1 species
GCAAGUCGAGCGCGCCCUUCGGGGUGAGCGGCGGACGGGUGAGUAACGCGUGGGAAUAUGCCCUUCUCUAAGGAAUAGCCUCUGGAAACGGAGAGUAAUACCUUAUACGCCCUUCGGGGGAAAGAUUUAUCGGAGAAGGAUCAGCCCGCGUUAGAUUAGAUAGUUGGUGGGGUAAUGGCCUACCAAGACGAUGAUGCAUAGCCGACCUGAGAGGGUGAUC